GGUCUUGGACGGCGGUCUACCACAAUUGUGGUACGUACCAACUGUCCGAGUCCAUCCUCGGGGAAAACAUGCCUGUGAUUCAGUUCAUGGGUAUGGGAUCCUCGUCAUUUACUGUGAGCAAAAUAGAGUGUUCAAAGCAGGCUUAUGCCGUUGAAUACAUUAGCAUGGAAUAAUAAGAUAGGACCUUGGUCUAUUUUGUUGGUUUGUACUCCAAGGUAAUGAUUAAUAGGGAUAGUUGGGGGUAUUCGUAUUCAAUUGUCAGAGGUGAAAUUCUUGGAUUUAUGGAAGACGAACUACUGCGAAAGCAUUUACCAAGGAUGUUUUCAUUAAUCAAGAACGAAAGUAAGGGGAUCGAAGAUGAUUAGAUACCAUCGUAGUCUUUACCAUAAACUAUGCCGACUAGGGAUUGGUGGACGUUUGUAACGACUCCAUCAGCACCUUAUGAGAAAUCAAAGUCUUUGGGUUCC
rnacentral:rRNA from 1 species